AAAAGAUUAAAAUAACUCGGGAAACUUGUCCCACAUUUCAUCUUCUAAUUCUCACAUCGCUUCGUCUUGAGUGUAAUGCUGCUAUAACACCGUGACUAUAGGAAUCCUCCUGUUGCGCAGAACCUUCUCAGUCUAAUGAAUGAUCUCAAUAAGGUACUCCACACAAGCCAUGUCCGAAUGGACAAGAGAUUGUUGAGACAGAAUAAUGUAAAAAGUGACGCAAAAUGCAUCACAAAGGAUAUCUCGAUAAAAGAAGAGAACGCGUAGGACUCUGAAGUCCUCAAUGAAUUAGCCCAAUGGGGAAACAAGCCCAGUUGUUCGUAGGCCCAAUUACUCGAAGUCGGGCCUGUAAGCUUCAAGGAGUUUUCAAUUUCCUCGUCCAGGAUUUAGUGAGCAACACGAUCAAUGACAAAGUACAAAGGGAAGAUAAUAGCCUGACACGAAGAUGGAAGACAUAUGCGACAUACGUAAAUUAUCUUUGGCAUGUUGAAGACAAGUAUGGAGAUCCACCCACACAGGUAGAUAGCUU
rnacentral:lncRNA from 1 species